UACACACCGCCCGUCACAUCAUGAAAGCCGUUUGUACCCGAAGUCGGAGGGCCAACCCGCAAGGGGGGGCAUCCGCCGAAGGUAUGGAUGGUGAUUGGGAUG
rnacentral:rRNA from 1 species